GAAUUUUAUAUAUAGUAAAAUAAAAAAUAGUUAAUUUAAUGGUAAAUUUUAUUGAGAUAUAUUUAGUUGGGGGGACUAUUAAAUUAAUUAAACUUUAAUUUAAGAAAUCAUAGAUUAAUGUAUAAGAUGAAUAAUAAGAAAAUUAAAUAAGAAUUAAUUACCUUAGGGAUAACAGCGUAAUAUUAUUGGAGAGAUCAUAUUAAUAAUAAUGAUUGC
rnacentral:rRNA from 1 species